GGGCUAUCUCUCGCCUUUAAAUCCUACCCCACACCACACCUUCCCUGUUAGCUGAUUGCCCUGAACCAGAAGCAGCCCCUUCUCUCUUGUCCCAGUCCUGGGUUUAUCAACAAGGGAGGAGGAGGUUAAUCCACAGCUUUUUGCUGCGCAUCAGAUAACGCUCAUUAUGCAAGCAGCAGUAAGAGCAUUCACACAGGAUGGUGUGUGGCCGUCAAUGUGCAUCUCUGUGUACACACGGCUGUAGUUUGCUGUGAAUUGAGGGCAUGACAGUAUCUUGGCAGUAUCCCAUACUCCUUUGCUGGCUGCUGAGCAGUGUGCAUUCUGGGAUUUUCUUGCUGUGCACUGUGGAUAGUAGAAGACAGACUAGUUCAAAUUUUUUAAAAGUCCCAUGAUUCAUCUGUCUCCAUGCUGUAUAUGCUGGAUGGGCAGGCUAGCGCCAUUUUCAAAUUGCACCACUAUGCUGACAACCUCUGAUACCCAGAAUACCCAGAGGCUUCUUGGGCUCUGUUUCUGCACUCAAAGCCAGAUGAAUUUGGGUUGUAACUUCACCUGCAGCACCACCAAGCAGAUGAUGUGGCAGCAACAGCAGUUCCUCCAGCAGCAGGAGGGGCUUCGGUGGUGGUGGAACUAGGACAUGGGCAAGGAAGAAGAGGAACAAACUUAGCAGCUGGUAGUGGAGGACCAAGUCCUGGAGCAGCUUCACAGUAUGCAGUGCCGUUUCUGGGCUUGGGAAACCAGGACCGACUGGUGGGAAAGGCUUGUUCUGCAGCCCUGGAAUGACCAGCAGUGGCAAGAGACUUUCAGGAUGGGGAAGAUAACCUUUUUGGAGAUUGUGCUGAACUAACCCCUGAGCCACAGUGGGAAAGUACCAACACGUGGUGCCCCAUAUCCAUGGACAAGCAGGUUGCAGUUGCCAUCUGGAAGCUAGCCACCCCCGAAUACUGCCAUCUGUAGCAAACCAACUUGGCAUGGGAUGAUUGACUAUUGGGACCAUUGUCAUGCAGGAAGGCUGUGAUAGCAUUUUUUUACAUGGAUUUCUGCCUUUACCUCCCUGAGAUUCUUCCCAGUCUUGGGGGACCCUCGCAGAUGCGUGGAGAGCACAGGUGAUCACGCAGAGCUCAUCAGCACAGGUAACCAUGCAGUCCGAGAAUCGAAAAAGAGCACCAGCAUGGACCGUACCGGGAGGUACUGGAUCUGAUCGCUAUAUGGGGAGAGGAUUCCGUGCUAGCAGAACUAUGUUCCAAAAGACGAAAUGCCAAAACAUUUGAAAAAAUCUCCACGGGCAUGAUGGAGAGAGGCCACAAUAGGGACUCAUAUCAGUGCCACGUGAAAGUUAAGGAGCUCAGACAAGCCUAUCAAAAAACAAAGAAGGCAAACGGUUGUUCCAGGUCAGAGCCGCAGACAUGCCGCUUCUAUGCUGAGCUGCAUGCAAUUCUAGGGGGGCCGCCACCACUAUCCCAUCUCUGACCAUGGAUUCUGAGGAGGGGGUAAUCUCAGCCAUGCCUGAGGAUUCUGCGGACAGUGAAGAUGAGGAGGAGGACGGGCUUGCGGAGAGCACACAGCACUCUGUUCUCCCCAACAGCCAGGAUCUUUUUCUCAGCCUGACUGAAGUACCCUCCCAACCCUCCCAAGGCAGUUUCCCAGAAAAUGAGGCCAUGGAAGGGACCUCUGCUGCAAAUUUUUCAAGCCUCCCUCCUCCGUCCCGAAGGUUAUCUCAGAUAAG